rnacentral:tRNA from 1 species
GCUUUCGUGGUGUAGUGGUCAGCACGCUCAGCAUGUAUUCGAGAGAUCCGUGGUUCGAGUCCCGGCGAGGUUG